UCUCCACGCCCGCAAAGAGACGGCUCCUUUGCCUCGAGCCCGCCCCCAGGCAGAGCGGCGGCCUGGGAGUCCGCCCCGCAGUCCUGGGCCUCGGACGCAGUGUACGGGGCUCCGGACCUGGCAGGACAUGUUAAAUUCCGCCCAGGCCAGCAGAUCCCAGACGUGCUACACAGUCUCCCGAGGAUCCUAACGCACAGCAUGAGCGGAGGCAAGGCUGUAACUCGAGUCGGCUAAGCGUAAGAAGCCAGGAGCCACGAGGAGGUCCUACCUGGAAGAUGGCGGUUCCGGCCGAAAGGAAGGAGGCGGAGCCCUGGCUCGCGCCUUACUAGGGCCAGUAGGCUGCCCGCGGCGCUGCCUGACGGAAACGCCAACCUGAAUUAGCUCUUUUAAGCAACAGAGCCGUCCUUGAGAACAAAGACAUCCCAUUAUAGUAUACAGUGCUUUCGUCUGUUGAUUGCAAACAAAACAGAUUCGGCCAGCGCAAACUGACAGUUGGAUUGUGCCAAACAGCCCGGAAAGGGGCCUUCAAGACCGUCAAUAAGACGCCGACGACGCGAGCGUGUCGACGUCACUGUUGCGUCACGCGUACGCCGGAAGGGACUCUGCGUGCCUUGGCCGGGAGUUGUGAGGGUGUUUGCCGCGUCGGAAGUAUUUUGAGCUUGAAGCUGGUGCUUACUUCUACGGUACUUGUUUGCAAGUGGUUAUACAGGCACAAAAAAAUACAUUAUAAUUAAUUAAAAACAAGUAUGUAGUUUAUAUGGCUUUAAAUAGAGUUCCUUCUGCAUUUAAACGCGCUUACUAGGGAUUACUACCACUUUGGAAAGCAAUUUGGGAAGAUCUAGUAAAACUGAGUAUUUUAAAACACUAACCACCAGUGUACCACUUUUAUCUGUGUAUGUCCUACAGGAGGUUUGAUAUGGUUGUGCAUAUCAACCAGGUUGACAAGGAAGUGCAUGCUAGUAUUGUGGGUGAAGCCAGAAAUUUAAAACUUUUCUAAAAGAAUACAUUAUGCGUUGUAAACAGGAUGAAAAAAUACAUGCUGGCAAAACAGAACUGAACUCAGAAACAGGAUGAAGCGAAAGAGAGCGAGGGUCUCACUAUGCAGUUCAGGCUGGUCUUGAGCUCAAUUUGUAGCCCAGGCUGGUCUCUAACUGGCAAUGAUCCUCCCACCUCAGCCUUCCCAGUGCUGGGAUUACAGGCCUGAGCCACCAUGACCGGCUGGAAAGAUACAUUCUUGCCCUGACUCCUCCCCGUCUCUGUUUCCUAGUCACAAUAAGGUGAGCAACUUUCCUGUGCCCAGCCCUUCCACCAUAGCAUUUCUGUCUUGGAGCUAUUAAACCACUGAAUAAACCAACACUUGUAUACCUGUAAGCCAAAAUAAAAGCCUCCUCCUUGAAA